UCAAGGUCGAAAUUGCGAGAGGAUGAUUCGAAGUGAAAUACCGCAACAAAAACGUUCGAUUUGGACAUCAACGCGUGUAACUGAAUGAGUCACAAUGUUUCUACCACAAGAGUUGUAAAUAUUGAACAGAAAGGGCUUCAUUUUCAAGAUGAAAACUGCAAAAAAUGGCCACCAACAAUAAUGGGCCAGGACUGAGGAGUUCCAAGAAAUGAGUAUUCUUCAGCCCACAAAUAUCAGUGCUGCCCCACUGCCCAAAACCAGAGUGUGGCAACAAGUAAAUGGACCUUGACAAAUGUCUUCUAUGUUAGAGCCAGUCCCUUACACAAGUGGCCUACUAUUGCACAGCUGAGGUUGUUAUCAAAUGCAGCAGUAGGUAUGAAAUGCGGAAACUGUUCCAACUUGAUCUUCAACAGUUGAGUUACUCCUCAUCACAAUACCUGAACUGAAAACAAUCGGUGACGAUCCUGCACUUCACUUCUACCUCACAGUGCUCUUCCCUAUAAACGGUAGAGGAAAGUUUGAAAAUGAAAACCUUGUCAUUGCAAGUGUGAAAGGACCAAUUGAUUCAUAACGAAACAACCUGCCUCAAUGCUUUAGCUGACACUGCAUCAAGUCAACACAAGGCAAUUUGUUUUUCUUGCAACCUGACCUGUAUGUUGAAUCUGAUCAAAAUUGUACACAACCACUGGUCAAGAAUAUAGAAAUACAAGUUGUAUGAUCAGUAACCUAAAAUAUUCUUGAAUAUUUGAACAUAAUAAAAGAGUAUUUGUUAAAGUUAUACAUAUUGUGUGUAGUGUAGGUAAGAUCAAUGUUAAGGUUAUUUUGGCUAAAAACAAGGAAAAUGAGUCUUGAUUCAUAACAUCGAUGAAAUAGCAAGCUUUAAGUAUUUUCGAUAAAGUGAUACAUAUAUUUUGUGGUGAUGUCAUAACCUUGUUUCACUGUUUUUGAAGAGAAAACACAUGUUAUAAAUAUAUUAUCACAUUUGUGUUUUUUUAGCUCGACUAUUUUAAGAAUAAGGUGGGCUAUACUAUUCGCUCUGGUGUCGGUGUCCGGUUCAAGUUUUAGGGCAAGUUGGGAUUUUCACUUAUAAGUCCAAUACCCUUCAUUCAAUUGACUUGAUACCUAACACAGUUGUUCAGGGCCAUCAUAUAAUGGGAAUAGAUAAUUCCUUUAUACAAGUUAUGGCCCCUGAUUGACUUAGGUUAAAGGUUUAGGGCAGGUUAAAGUUUUAGAACAAGUUGGGAUUUUCACUAAUAAGACCAAUACCCUUCAUUCAAUUGACUUAAUACUUUACACAGUUGUUCAGUGCCAUCACAUAAUUAGGUAAGAUAACUCCAUAUCAUAUUUUAUUCACAUAAUAUAAUGGCCCCUGAUUAACUAUGGAACUUAGAUUAAAAUUUUAGGGCAGGUUGAUAUAUUUAUUGAUAACUUCUAUACCCUUCAUUCAUAUUAUCCUUAAUACAAGUUAUGGCCCCUGAUUGACUUAGGUUAAAGUUUUAGGGCAAGUUAAAGUUUUAGGGCAAGUUGGGAUUUUAAUAAAAAAAACUUCCAUAACUUCAAUCAAUGCACUUAAUACUUCGCAGAAUUAUUGAUGACCAUCUUACACUAAGGAACAUAACUUUAUGUUAACCCUAAAUACAAAUUAUUGCCCUUGAAUGUUUUUUUUCCUUUUUAACUCUUUUUUUAAUUUCUUUUGAAAGGCACAUUUUUAUAUUCCUAACCACAUUUUCAUAAAGGGAAAACAAGAUAUUUGAAUGACCUGUGUCAUUGUUCGGGCGGGCUGGUGUUAGAGCAGCGUCAAAGUCACCUUAUGUAUCGAAUAAUUUUAGCUAGGUUUGACAUAAAGAGACCAAACUUGGUAUAUGCAAAGAGUUUAUGGAGACCUUUUAUGGGAAUGCAUUUGAGGCUCCUAUGAUCAAGGUCAAGGUUACUAUUAAUAGAAAAAGGGUUGGUUUUGAAUAACUUAAGUAAGGGUCUUCUAAUUGGUACCAAAUUUGGUAUAUAGGAAGAGUUUAUAGAGACCUUUCCUGAGAUUGUGUUUUUUGUCCCCGAGAGUUAUGGUUUAGGUCAAGGUCAAAAUAGAAAUAUGGUAAGUACUGAAUUACUCAAGUAAGGGUUGACAUAGUGUGACCAAACUUGGUAUAUAGGACAAGUAUAUGCAGAGCUUUAAUGGAUGCUUUUUUGUCCCCUAGGGUCGUUGUCACUGUUACUAAAAAUAGAUUACUGUUUCAGUUAAGGCUUACAUACUGUGACCAAACUUGAUAUAUGUAGGAAGAGUUUAUAGCACGGACACGAGUAUGUGUACUCUGACAUUUAAAUAUCUCGUGUGACUUUGAUCUUUGAGUUAUGAACCCUGGUCAAUGUCACUGCUCAUCGUCUCAAUGAGGACAACAUUUGUACCAAGCAAUAUGGUAAUCCAUCAAUGCAAAAGUAAGUUAAAGCACGGACACAAAAUGUUACAGCCAGACGGACAGACAGACUGAUGAAGUGUUUCUGUAAUCCCCUCCCCACUCCGUCGCGGGGGAUUUGAAAUUUGAUAUUUAUAAAAUAGUGUACUUCCAUUUUUGCCAUUGUUGUGUUUUACCAUUCUGUCAAUAUGUUAAGUGACAGUUGUGUCAAUAUCUUACAGUAACAAUAUAUGACUUUACAGAAUCGUAACAUUAUUUAAUAACCCUUAUCAUAAUGAUUACUUAUCUUCCUAUUGUUUUCUUAAAUGUUCUGCAAUUUCAAUAAUUAUUAACAAAACAUGUUCCUAAAAUCAGAGACAUUUGACAGUAUUAUAAGACUUCUCAUUCAAGGUUUUGUCUACCUGAACACUGAUGUUUGUAUAAUGCUCUGUAGAUAUCACUAUGCUUUUGCUAAGUUUAAUUCCCAUUAAUGUUUAAAUUAUUUUUUCAUAGGUACAUAUAUUUAACAAUGUUCUGUUUUUCAACAUCUCACUUAAACAGUUACAAAAUGUUAAUUUACAAGAAAUACUUGCAUUUAUAUCACUAUGUCAUUUUGCCAUGUCACCCUUCUUUACUACCUGUUAAGCUUAAAGCUGCACUCUCACAGAUUUACCAUUUGUACAACUUUUUUUAUUGUUUGUCUUGGAAAGCGCAAAUUUUGUGUUAACAAAUGAUUUAAGAUUACUGACAAAAGAUCAAAUCACAGAUUUUCAUAUUUCCAUUUGAGAAUUAAUGUCUUUUGGCUUAAGCUGUUACUAACAGUUUAAGAAAAUUGCAUAAAACAUCAAUUUUUGAACUUAAGUAUAAAAAUCUGCAAUCUUAUUUUGUCAGCAGUCUUAUAUAACUGGUGUCAAUGGAUUUUCGCAAAAUAUGGCUCGUUCUUAGUAAAAAAAAUUGAAAAUGUUGUCAAAACGUUCAAUCUGUGAGAGUGCAGCUUUAACUCUGAUGAAUAUAUCAUUCAAUGUCUCUUUUAUAGGCACUGACUCUCCAUUUACAAACAUUAGAAUUCAUAAUGCUUAAAAAAGUAUGCCUGUUUCAACUUCUCAACUUACCCUACUUUUUUUUGCAUGACUUAACCAUUCUAUUGUGUGUUGUUGUUUUUCAUUUUCGUGAUUUAUGACUUUUCAAACUUUAAAAAAUAAUGGCCUUUUGGCUAUCAACCAUAUCAGCAAUGCUUAUACUGAUAAUAUAAAACUCCAGGCAUAUCAUUUAUAGUUUUGGGUUUGACAACUUUCAACUUUUAAGUUAGUAAAUCAUUUAACAAAUAUACCUAUUUUCAACCCAAAUCAUUCCAACAUAACAACUGAAACUGAGUCUUUUUAAGCCCCCCCCAUGUAAAAGAUAUUUAUCACCCUAUAAAUAGUUUCAUUCAAGUACUGUGCAUUUGCAUACUAGGUACAUAUUACUAGGUUUUCAUGCAUUUUCAUUUAUAUCCUUUUUUUUAUACCUGUUCUAUUUCAUUGCUUAUGAAAUAGUGGCAGCAUGUAUUUUAGUAUUGUAUUAAUUUGUCUGUGCGCAUUCUUAUUCCAAGUACUGGUCAUAAUGUAUAUGACGCACUUACACCGAAUUAUAACAAAUAUUCUUUCUAUUGUUUAUUACAUUUCAGUACAACUCUACCAUUCCCAGCAUACAUUCUAACUCUGUAUAUUUUGUUAUCAUGCUUAUUACUCUUUGUUGUUUACAAAAUAUAUAUACCGGUAAAAUGUCAUAUUGCUCAUGUUCUUUCUUGUUUGUACAUAUGUUCACAUUUCAAUAAUACUCAAUGCAGUAUUUAUUCAUAUAUUUCAAUGUCAUACUUUAAAGAAUCGAGAAGUUUUACAGGCAAAAUAACAUUAACACAUUUCCACCAAACUUUGUACAAAUGCUUCACUUUUCAUGUAUUAAAACAUAUUCCUCACUUCAUUUCAUUGUAACCUAUAAUUUUCAACACUUUCUUCAUAAAUCUUUUGUGUCAUUAUAUUUCCAUACACAUUCAGUGAUCAACUUCCUAGUCAUACCACUAUCAACCUGCAUCACAUUCUGCUCAUCAUUCUUAUAUCUUAUGCCUUAAAAGUGCAUAAUGCAUGAUGAUUACAUAAUGUUUAUUACGUAUAAGUGUCAGUAUAUGCUAAACUUGUUUCCUUUGUUUAAAACCUCCUGCAUGCCUAUAAAUCAUCUACGCCACAGAACAAGGAAAAUGACAUUACUAAUGAUGAUCAGACUUCUUUCUUUCAGCUCAUGUAUAACCAACUUAUUUUAAUUAAAUGUAUUUUUCUAAUUGUGUUAAAAUCUGUUACAUAAGCAAACAGUUUUAUGUGUUUUUCAGUUAGAAACAAUGGUUUUGUAACACUUAAUUACAACUUGUUUCGCGAAUUAUUAGCCAAAAGUAAACAUUGUUUUAAGCAGAUGUCCUUAAUUAGUUUUUUGGAUAAACCUUUGGUGCUACUCCUGUUUAAAGUCAACAAUUCACCAAAGUACUUCAAAUCCUCAACGUUUCGAACUUUGCCCAGAAUUGACCAAAUCAUGUUGGCAUAUUUAACAUUUCAGCUAUCAUAUCAGCCACUCCUAAAGAAAACCACCACUGUGGCCAUGUUGUCUUUUAUAGAUGUGUGUAUAUUGAUGCAGUUCAUGAAUAAAGUUAUUUGAUACAAUUAUGGUU